ensembl:snoRNA
GCACCUGAAUCUUUCCCAUUCCUUGCAGUACAGUGUGGGCCUGGGGACACAUGGUGCUAACAGAAAAGAAGAGUAAAUCCAGACAGGUUGUUUUCCUCAUUGAGGGCUUGUCUCUACAACUCUGCAACAUUC